UACAGAGGGUGCGAGCGUUAAUCGGAAUUACUGGGCGUAAAGGGCGCGUAGGCGGCCCGAUAAGUCGGAUGUGAAAGCCCUGGGCUUAACCUGGGAAUUGCAUUCGAUACUGUCGAGCUAGAGUAUGGUAGAGGUAAGCGGAAUUCCGGGUGUAGCGGUGAAAUGCGUAGAUAUCCGGAGGAACAUCAGUGGCGAAGGCGGCUUACUGGACCAAUACUGACGCUGAGGUGCGAAAGCGUGGGGAGCGAAC
rnacentral:rRNA from 1 species